AGAUCCCCCCAAACCACUGAUGGAUCUACUGGAUACCACCUUAAAAAGUCAUGAGCGAGGAUAUGUUUUGUCUACUUUAAAACCCAAAUCAUAUUAUAAAAACUUUAAACCAACUGGAAAAUGGCAUUGCUAUGACUAUGUCACAACCCCGACAAAUUAAUACAGCAUCAUAAAAAGCUCUUCAACUUGUCGGACAUAAAUUGGCCACAAAUUCAAAGAAAUGAAGAAGAGCCACUGUCUUAAUACUCUCUUGACCAAAUCUUUGCAUGUCCCAUAAUGCCGCUUGUUUGGGAUGGAAAGGUGUAAAAACUAAAGACUGAAAUAUAAAAUGACUGAAAAAAAAAAUUCCCUGUAACAGUGUGUGUUUUUUUAAAAAUAUACAUGCCAAAAUAACAGGAAUGUUGUAAAAAAAAAAAGGCAGAAAAAACAGAGAAGUUGAAGGAUUUCAAAAGGUGUCUAUGUGUAUAAGUUAUCUUAAAUUUCAUGAAUAUCAUGUUUAAAUUCCGUCCCUUUUUGAAUUUAUACCAGACAACUUAUUAUUUUAUAGUGAUCCUUUCAUUCUUCAGCACACACUGAGGUAAGAUUAGAUUAUUUAUACAGUUGCGCUACAAAGUUUACAGACGAUGGCAGAAUUUUUGCUUUUUUUAGCCAUUUUACAGAGAAAAUCAAUGACUAUUCCGUAUUUAAUAAAUAAAGCAUAUUGUGAUUGAUGCGCUUUCUAUUACAAAAGCGAAUCAAACAUUGACAUAGCUUGUACCAAAGUGCUCUAGCACCCCCUAGUGGGUGUUAACCAGUAAACCAUUACCCUGAGUGGCAAACUGUCAACUCCGUGAAACAGCAAAAAUUACAUUUACAUAACAGAACUCGAAUACCAACCUUGUUCCCUCAUCAGUCAGGUGCUAUGAGACCGUUUGCAGCUUAGAAUUGCACCUUAAAAUGAGCCUUUUAUCCGUUUUAACCGUGGAGUACAUUUUCUGUCUGUACCUCAGAGUUCCCGCUGCUGCUGCAGAGUUUUGCAGCAGUUACAACCGAUUUACGACACGCUGUCGUUCUGGAGACAAAUCGGGCUGUUUUCUGCCGUCUGUUUCAUCGCCGGUAAAGUGGUGGGCAGCGGGAUUUUCAUCGCACCUAAAGAAGUCCUGAUGAACAGCGGAAACAGCAUGGGGCUCUCCCUGCUGUUGUGGACGCUAUGUGGGGUCCUCUCCUUAUUUGGAGUUGUGUCAGGGCAUCAAGGCGUGAACACUGUACCAAACCAAGAUGCUGGUUCAUACUUAAUCUACUGCCCCCACCCCAAGUGAAAGAAAGCAGCUGAAAGACAGCUAGAAAAAAAUAUCAUGCAAAGUACAAUGGUUUUCUCUGAACCUCGUCUCUGAAGAAGUCAUCAGUCCAAACAGGCUCGACGAUAGGAGACGUCUGUCCGAGUCGAACCGGAACCAUCCGAUUUCCUCUGCCA